rnacentral:rRNA from 1 species
AUUGAACGCUGGCGGCGUGCUUUACACAUGCAAGUCGAACGGUAACAGGCCGCAAGGUGCUGACGAGUGGCGAACGGGUGAGUAAUGCAUCGGAACGUGCCCAGUCGUGGGGGAUAACGCAGCGAAAGCUGCGCUAAUACCGCAUACGAUCUAUGGAUGAAAGCGGGGGACCGUAAGUCCUCGCGCGAUUGGAGCGGCCGAUGUCAGAUUAGGUAGUUGGUGGGGUAAAGGCUCACCAAGCCAACGAUCUGUAGCUGGUCUGAGAGGACGACCAGCCACACUGGGACUGAGACACGGCCCAGACUCCUACGGGAGGCAGCAGUGGGGAAUUUUGGACAAUGGGCGCAAGCCUGAUCCAGCAAUGCCGCGUGCAGGAAGAAGGCCUUCGGGUUGUAAACUGCUUUUGUACGGAACGAAACGGUCCUGGUUAAUACCCGGGGCUAAUGACGGUACCGUAAGAAUAAGCACCGGCUAACUACGUGCCAGCCGCCGCUGUAACAC